CUAGUCAAAGAUAAUAAUAUAGUUUUGAAUGUUAUGAAACAGACCGGCAGUAGAACUACUGUGUCGAAGUUUUGCAUGUAUGAGAAAAGUUAUAUUUGGGGGCGUGAAAGACACAAAAUAUGAACAUUUGUAGAAAUAUACUGCAGAGGAGAUCAUGUUUUUUAAUCAACAAUUUGAUGUAUUCCAAAAAAGCAGAGGCUGGUGCCACAAUAGCUGGGCUUGGAAAACGGAAGAAACUUGGCAAACUAGGUCCUGUAAUGGAGAAAAAGGUUCUUCCUGUAGAAACAGAUCCAGCUAGGUUAGUGUCUUAUGUUUGUGGUAGUAACAUAUACAAAGAAGGUGAAGAUAUCAAACUGAAGGAAGAUUCUGAGUAUCCAGAUUGGCUUUGGAACAUACGAACAGGCAAGCCACCUGCUUUAGAGGAAUUGGACCCUAACACUAAAGAGUAUUGGAGAAGACUGAGGAAAAUGGCAUUGAGAAGAAAUAAUCAGUUGCAAAAGAUAAAGAAGUUUUAGGUGCAUCUGUGUACUGUGCAUGGUGAAAUAAGUGAUACACCGAAAGUGUAGAUAAAGAGCUGUUUUAUUUAAUAGACUAUAACUCACUGCGGCGGUUCCUCCAGGCUGUCAUGUAUGUCCUUGGAUGGAUGGGAUAGAAACCUGCUAAUCCUGUGUAACAGUAGAGAUAAUAACACUUAAGUGUGAUGUCAUACUGUCCAGUUUCAAAACAGAG